rnacentral:tRNA from 1 species
GGAGUUGUGGCUCAGUGGUAGAGCGCUGGCCUAGCACAUGUGCACGUGUGAGGACCUGGGUUCAAUCCUCAGCAUCUCAU